rnacentral:rRNA from 1 species
GACGAACGCUGGCGGCGUGCCUAACACAUGCAAGUCGAGCGAGGUCCAUCCGGUGGCAACACCGGUGAAGACCUAGCGGCGAACGGGUGAGUAACACGUGAGGAACCUGCCCCGAAGUCCGGGAUAACCCUCCGAAAGGAGAGCUAAUACCGGAUCCCCCCACCGGACCGCAUGAUCUGGUGAGGAAAGAUUCAUCGCUUCGGGAGGGCCUCGCGGCCUAUCAGCUAGUUGGUGGGGUAACGGCCCACCAAGGCGACGACGGGUAGCUGGUCUGAGAGGACGAUCAGCCACACUGGGACUGAGACACGGCCCAGACUCCUACGGGAGGCAGCAGUGGGGAAUCUUGCGCAAUGGGCGAAAGCCUGACGCAGCAACGCCGCGUGGGGGAUGAAGGCCCUCGGGUUGUAAACCCCUUUCAGCAGGGAAGACCAAGACGGUACCUGCAGAAGAAGCCCCGGCUAACUACGUGCCAGCAGCCGCCGUAACAC